AGGACGAACGCUGGCGGCGUGCUUAACACAUGCAAGUCGAGCGGUAAGGCCUUUCGGGGUACACGAGCGGCGAACGGGUGAGUAACACGUGGGUGAUCUGCCCUGCACUCUGGGAUAAGCCUGGGAAACUGGGUCUAAUACCGGAUAUGACCUGCUCUCGCAUGGGGGUGGGUGGAAAGAUUUAUCGGUGCAGGAUGGGCCCGCGGCCUAUCAGCUUGUUGGUGGGUAAUGGCCUACCAAGGCGACGACGGGUAGCCGACCUGAGAGGGUGACCGGCCACACUGGGACUGAGACACGGCCCAGACUCCUACGGGAGGCAGCAGUGGGAAUAUGCACAAGUGGGCGAAAGCCUGAUGCAGCGACGCCGCGUGAGGAUGAAGGCCUUACGGGUUGUAAACCUCUUUCAGCGAGGACGAAGCGACGAAGUGACGUACCGUGACGAAGAAGAAGACGAACCGGACUAACGUACGUGCCAGCAGCCGAC
rnacentral:rRNA from 1 species